rnacentral:snoRNA from 1 species
GACAUUUCUCUUGGUUGUAAAAGUAUAUGAGGAAAAAAAGGAGCCCAGAGUAACAGUUUUUUCCUUGAUGGUUGCCUUUUUGCUUGCUGUAAUUGAUCUGACAAACAUUUUGGGAAAAACACAGAU